UAGGGAAUUUUCGGCAAUGGGGGAAACCCUGACCGAGCGACGCCGCGUGAGGGAUGAAGGCCUUCGGGUUGUAAACCUCUGUCUUCGGGGACGAUGAUGACGGUACCCGAGGAGGAAGCCACGGCUAACUACGUGCCAGCAGCCGCGGUAAGACGUAGGUGGCGAGCGUUGUCCGGAAUUAUUGGGCGUAAAGGGCGUGUAGGCGGCCUGUCAAGUCAGACGUGAAAUCCCUGGGCUUAACCUUGGGACUGCGUUUGAUACUGAUGGGCUUGAGGACAGGAGAGGAAAGUGGAACUCCGUGUGUAGCGGUGAAAUGCUCAGAUAUACGGAAGAACACCAGUGGCGAAGGCGACUUUCUGGACUGUCCCUGACGCUGAGGCGCGAAAGCCAGGGGAGCGAACGG
rnacentral:rRNA from 1 species